UGGCAAACUUUUAGAUGCUGAGGUAGCUGC
rnacentral:piRNA from 1 species